GAUGAACGCUGGCGGCGUGCCUAAUACAUGCAAGUCGAGCGAACGGACGCGAAGCUUGCUUCUUUCACGUUAGCGGCGCACGGGUGAGUAACACGUGUAAACCCCACUUAUAUGACUGAGAUCACUUCGGGAAACCGUAGCUUACACCGUAUAAUCUCUUGCACCGCAUGGUUCAUUGGUGAAAGUCGGUGUUGCUGUCACUUAUAGCUGGAUCCGCGCUGCAUUAGCUAGUUGGUACGGUAACGGCUUACCAAGGCUACUAUGCAUAGCCGACCUGACAGGGUGAUCGGCCGCACGGGAAGGGAGACGCGGUCCAGGCUCCUACGGGAGGCAGCAGUCGGGAAUCUGCCGCAGUGGGCGAAAGCCUGACGGAGCAACGCCGAGUGUGUGAUGAAGGUGUUCGGAUCGUAAAACUCUGUUAUGAGGGGAAAACAGAUGUGGAAGUAACUGUGCAGAGCUUGACGGUACCUGAUCAGAAAGCCACGGCUAACUACGUG
rnacentral:rRNA from 1 species